GACGAACGCUGGCGGCGUGCCUAAUACAUGCAAGUCGAACGAGAGCGACCGGUGCUUGCACUGGUCAAUCUAGUGGCGAACGGGUGAGUAACACGUGGGUAACCUGCCCAUCAGAGGGGGAUAACAUCCGGAAACGGAUGCUAAAACCGCAUAGGUCUUCGAGCCGCAUGGCUUGAAGAGGAAAAGAGGCGCAAGCUUCCGCUGAUGGAUGGACCCGCGGUGCAUUAGCUAGUUGGUGAGGUAACGGCUCACCAAGGCCGUGAUGCAUAGCCGACCUGAGAGGGUGAUCGGCCACAUUGGGACUGAGACACGGCCCAAACUCCUACGGGAGGCAGCAGUAGGGAAUCUUCCGCAAUGGACGCAAGUCUGACGGAGCAACGCCGCGUGAGUGAAGAAGGUUUUCGGAUCGUAAAACUCUGUUGUUAGAGAAGAACAAGUGCUGGAGUAACUGUUAGCGCCUUGACGGUAUCUAACCAGAAAGCCACGGCUAACUACGUG
rnacentral:rRNA from 1 species